rnacentral:misc_RNA from 1 species
UCUCCGUAGGUGAACCUGCGGAGGGAUCAUUACUGAGUGAGGGGCUCCGGCCCCAGACCUCCAACCCAUUGUUAUCCGACACUGUUGCCUCGGGGGCAGAGCGGCCUCCGCCGCCCCCGGUGGACCAUUUAACACUGUCUCUGUAUGUCGGAGUCUUUGAUGAAUAUAUGAAAACUUUUAACAACGGAUCUCUUGGUUCUGGCAUCGAUGAAGAACGCAGC